UACGGAGGGUGCAAGCGUGUCCGGAAUCACUGGGCGUAAAGGGCGCGUAGGCGGCUCAUGAAGGCUGUGGUGAAAGUCCGGGGCUCAACCUCGGAUCGGCCGUGGCGACUCGUGGGCUGGAGCACUGUAGAGGCGGGUGGAAUUCCGGGGUGUAGCGGUGGAAUGCGUAGAGAUCCGGAAGAACACCAGUGGCGAAGGCGGCCCGCUGGGCAGUGGCUGACGCUGAGGCGCGACAGCGUGGGGAGCAACAGG
rnacentral:rRNA from 1 species